AGAUUGAACGCUGGCGGCAGGCCUAACACAUGCAAGUCGAGCGGUAGAGAGGUGCUUGCAUCUCUUGAGAGCGGCGGACGGGUGAGUAAUGCCUAGGAAUCUGCCUAGUGGUGGGGGAUAACGUUCGGAAACGGACGCUAAUACCGCAUACGUCCUACGGGAGAAAGCGGGGGACCUUCGGGCCUCGCGCCAUUAGAUGAGCCUAGGUCGGAUUAGCUAGUUGGUGAGGUAAUGGCUCACCAAGGCGACGAUACCGUAACUGGUCUGAGAGGAUGAUCAGUCACAC
rnacentral:rRNA from 1 species